rnacentral:rRNA from 1 species
AGUGAACGCUGGCGGCAGGCCUAACACAUGCAAGUCGAACGGCAGCACAGUAAGAGCUUGCUCUUAUGGGUGGCGAGUGGCGGACGGGUGAGGAAUACAUCGGAAUCUACUCUUUCGUGGGGGAUAACGUAGGGAAACUUACGCUAAUACCGCAUACGACCUACGGGUGAAAGCGGAGGACCUUCGGGCUUCGCGCGAUUGAAUGAGCCGAUGUCGGAUUAGCUAGUUGGCGGGGUAAAGGCCCACCAAGGCGACGAUCCGUAGCUGGUCUGAGAGGAUGAUCAGCCACACUGGAACUGAGACACGGUCCAGACUCCUACGGGAGGCAGCAGUGGGGAAUAUUUGACAAUGGGCGCAAGCCUGAUCCAGCCAUGCCGCGUGGGUGAAGAAGGCCUUCGGGUUGUAAAGCCCUUUUGUUGGGAAAGAAAAGCAGUCGGUUAAUACCCGAUUGUUCUGACGGUACCCAAAGAAUAAGCACCGGCUAACUUCGUGCCAGCAGCCGCAGUAAAAC